UCUAAUAUGGCAGAAUAGUGCAAUAGAUUUAAACUCUAUAAAUAUAAUUUAUAUUAUUUUUAGAA
rnacentral:tRNA from 1 species